rnacentral:misc_RNA from 1 species
UCUUCUCAACCCUCCUGUCUUUUUUAUUAAAGGCAGACGGGCUUGGACUUGGAGGCUUUGCAGGCGUCUGGAUUUUCUUAAAUCUAGAAGUCGGCUCCUCUGAAAUGCAUUAGCUUGAAUAGAACCAAGCAUGAUUCAGCGUGAUAAUUGUCUACGUUGCUUCGUCUCGGUGAACUUAAUGUUCGAGCUUCUAACCGUCCCUCGGGACAAUCUCUGAAC